rnacentral:rRNA from 1 species
GACGAACGCUGGCGGCGUGCUUAACACAUGCAAGUCGAACGCUGAAGCUCAGCUUUUGUUGGGUGGAUGAGUGGCGAGCGGGUGAGUAACACGUGAGUAACCUGCCCCCUUCUUUGGGAUAACGCCCGGAAACGGGUGCUAAUACUGGAUAUUCACUGGUCUUCGCAUGGGGGUUGGUGGAAAGGGUUUUUCUGGUGGGGGAUGGGCUCGCGGCCUAUCAGCUUGUUGGUGGGGUGAUGGCCUACCAAGGCUUUGACGGGUAGCCGGCCUGAGAGGGUGACCGGUCACAUUGGGACUGAGAUACGGCCCAGACUCCUACGGGAGGCAGCAGUGGGGAAUAUUGCACAAUGGGCGCAAGCCUGAUGCAGCGACGCCGCGUGAGGGAUGGAGGCCUUCGGGUUGUGAACCUCUUUCGCUCAUGGUCAAGCCGCAACAAUGGUUGUGGUGAGGGUAGUGGGUAAAGAAGCGCCGGCUAACUACGUG